GGUAAACGCUGGCGGUAUGUUUAAUACAUGCAAGUCGAGCGGAGAUGAGGUGCUUGCAUCUUAUCUUAGCGGCGGACGGGUGAGUAAUGCUUAGGAAUCUGCCUAUUAGUGGGGGACAACAUUCCGAAAGGAAUGCUAAUACCGCAUACGUCCUACGGGAGAAAGCAGGGGAUCUUCGGACCUUGCGCUAAUAGAUGAGCCUAAGUCGGAUUAGCUAGUUGGUGGGGUAAAGGCCUACCAAGGCGACGAUCUGUAGCGGGUCUGAGAGGAUGAUCCGCCAAACUGGGACUGAGACACGGCCCAGGCUCCUACGGGAGGCAGCAGUGGGGAAUAUUGGACAAUGGGGGGAACCCUGAUCCAGCCAUGCCGCGUGUGUGAAGAAGGCCUUAUGGUUGUAAAGCACUUUAAGCGAGGAGGAGGCUACUGAGACUAAUACUCUUGGAUAGUGGACGUUACUCGCAGAAUAAGCACCGGCUAACUCUGUGCCAGCAGCCGCAGUAACAC
rnacentral:rRNA from 1 species